rnacentral:lncRNA from 1 species
UCUCUCUCUCUCUCUCUCUCUCUCUCUCUUUCUCAUCUGUGGGUCUUCUCUUCGCCAUGGAGGAGAAGAUCUUCGAAUGCCCGCCGCAGCUCAGCGGCGCGGCGGCGGCUGGGGGCGGCGAUCAGCUGCCGCCGUGCUUCGUGCACUUCAAUUGGGACAGCGCCGUUGACCAGAAUGCCGGCGCCCACUUCGAGUCUGCGCUCAGCUCCAUGGUCUCCUCUCCGUCCUCCACCAAUCCGGCACCGGCUGGGGCGGAGAAUCUCGUCAUCCGCGAGCUGAUCGGGCGGCUGGGGAGCAUCUGCAACUCCGGCGAGAUCUCGCCGCAGUCCCACCGCUACGGGGGCGGCGCCGCCACCUCCUGCUACAGCACCCCCCUGAACUCCC